rfam:Felis catus isolate Cinnamon breed Abyssinian chromosome E2, whole genome shotgun sequence.
ACCUGGCUGGCUCAGUUGGUGGAGCACACAACUCUUGAUCUUGGGGUUGUGAGUUCAAGUCCCAUGUUGGGUA